GGUUGGGCGGUUCAACAAGGAAAAAAAAACAUCCAACCAAUUAUUAAACGCCAUUUGAUAUUGCCAAUUUGAAUUACUUCCUUCAUUAAAUAAAUUCGCUCAUUUCCCAAAAUUCUAUAUUGUUAGCCGUUCAAGAUUGCAAUUUAUCUUUUUUUUUAAAAAAAUAUGUGAAAAAUCAAUUUCCUGUGAUUAGGUUUUGAGGGACGGAUGUCAAAUGCAAGCUUGAAUCGCAUUUGUAAUGAUGAGAACAAUUCAAUGUUGUUUUUAACAAUGCGAUACAAACAUGGAGACUUGAUGCAAUUGCAGAUUUUGUGGUCUGAGGACAACCCAGCUAAAAGAUUUUGGUCCUGUUCAUGCUUUCGUGAAAAUUAUGCAAGUACAUUAGAUGGAGGAAUCAUGAGGAGAUUGACAUGCGAUCCAAGUCCGUUAUUUCAAGAUUGGCGAAUAGAAUUAAGGAAUUGAAAGAAGCAUUACAAUUCUGUAAGAUUAAAGAAAAGAAGAUGAAAUUGUUGUAGAAGAAAAGUGAUCAAGUAUGUCAUGAUAAGCUAAUCAAGAAGAAGAAGAUGAUGAAAUGUAGCAUCUUGAAUUAGAAGCUUAUCAUAGUGUUUGUCGUAGUAUAUUUUUUAGGAAUUAAUAAAAAUGUUAACUUUUUGGGUUUCUUCAUUUUAGUCGAAUACUGUUGUGGGUUUCCCAUCGAGUUUUUUUUA